AAUUGAACAGACUGCUCUUGGGAAACCUUCAAGAAAAUAUUCCUGGAAUACAAGUCCCUGUCUUUGUAUCGGCAUGCCUUCAUCAAAACUCCUGUCCACGAUUGUCUUGCUUGCAAGUGUUUCAACGGAAGUAAUAGUAUCUCAGAGACCAGUUCACACUUGCACGGUUGAGUAUGGAUUGGAACCAGAUCCUACCAGUUGUCUGAGAUACUAUGUGUGUUUCUUGUGGACCCCAAAGAAGCUGCAAUGUGGUCCGAACACCGCCUUCAACGUCCGAACAGGAGGAUGUGAAGUAGCCAGCUAUCAGCCCUGUGUCCGGGCCAUGAAAUCUUCCCUGGCCACCUAACCAACUUCUGAAAUCACAGGAUGCCCGCGGACACAAGAUGGACGGUUUGUCUACCCCGGUGAGGCCCGGAAGCACUCCUCCUGCGCACUUGUGGCAUGUGAAGUGUACUCCUGUGAGCCCGGAAAGGUUUUCUAUCCAGAUCUGAGAAUGUGAGACCUUUAGCGAGAAUUUGCCUAGCUGAGCGUUGCGGACGUUCUGGUUACAUAAAUAUACAGGGGACGUGUAGCUUAUUAAAGACACCAGUUAUGUUAU